CGAAUAUUUUACACAAUACUAUGCAUUUUGAUUGCAGAUCAUAAAUAUAAGGUUUAACUCCUUCACGU
rnacentral:tRNA from 1 species